rnacentral:rRNA from 1 species
UACGGAGGAUGCGAGCGUUAUCCGGAUUUACUGGGUGUAAAGGGAGCGUAGACGGCGGUGCAAGCCAGAUGUGAAAGCCCGGGGCUCAACCCCGGGACUGCAUUUGGAACUGUGCUGCUAGAGUGUCGGAGAGGCAGGCGGAAUUCCUAGUGUAGCGGUGAAAUGCGUAGAUAUUAGGAGGAACAUCGGUGGCGAAGGCGGCUUACUGGGCUUUUACUGACGCUGAGGCUCGAAAGCGUGGGGAGCAAACAGG